rnacentral:tRNA from 1 species
GGUUCCAUGGUGUCAUGCCCAGCACCCUAGGCUUUGAAUCCAGUGAUCUAAGUUUAAGUCUGGGUGGGACCU